UGGAAAUGACCUGAUCUCCUUGGAUCUUUAAAACCCCAUUUUACAGAGGUUGAUAUUGCAGCAACAUGUAUUCGUUUUAGUUUUGUGCGCGUCGCUGUCCGCUCCUCCUGACGCACCAAUUCAGCGCAUUUUCCAGCAGAGAUCAUUGUGAGAUCGCAGGUUGGGAGGAUGACAGCUUGAGUGUAUUUCUUGUUGAUUGCUCUUUUAUCGUGUCUGUUUGGAUACUUGAGCAUAACUCCCGUUAUUUCAAGAUGAACCACAGUGGACGGUUUGUCCGGCGAGGCUGAUGGUCGUGCCGUCCCGUCGAGGACGUUCUUCUGAUAAAGACUGCCCUGGAGGACAAAUACUGUCGAUUUCACCGUGGGCCUGUUUGCGUGCUGCCUGUUUUCAUGAAGCCGGGUCAAUGUCACAGACCGGAGAUUAUUCCACUGUGUGCUGAAAGCGGUUUCCAUGAUGGCCAGUGCCCUGCCACACAGAAAUGUUGCCCAACCACCGGUGGCUUUGCAUGCAGUGAACCACGUGGUCGCGGCCAGGGAAGGGGGUCAGGGACGCGAUCAUGGCGAGGGAAGCGGCUGUGGUCGGGGAUGUGGUCAUUGAAAUGGUCAUGGGUAUUUACACUUACUGGAGAUCUUUUCAAUUCAGUGCUUUAUUCUUAUGACACGUUUUCCCUGUUUGCACAAAGUUUAGAACGGUUUUGUCCCCCACCUCAAAUAAAAACAAUUGCUUGAUUGAA